GAAAUGCGAUAAGUAAUGUGAAUUGCAGAAUUCAGUGAAUCAUCGAAUCUUUGAACGCACAUUGCGCCCGCCAGUAUUCUGGCGGGCAUGCCUAUCCGAGCGUCAUUUCAACCAUCAAGCCCCCGGGCUUGUGUUGGGGACCUGCGGCUGCCCGCAGGCCCUGAAAACCAGUGGCGGGCUCGCUGUCACACCGAGCGUAGUAGCAAUCACCUCGCUCAGGGCGUGCUGCGGGUUCCGGCCGUUAAACAGCCUUACAAAACCCAAGGUUGACCUCGGAUCAGGUAGGAAGACCCGCUGAACUUAAGC
rnacentral:misc_RNA from 1 species